GAGCGCGUCUCAACAAACUGAAGGAGACUCCGCUGAGCUCUCUGCUGGGGAGGAUCCUAAAUGGCCAAAGAAAUAUAUCCAAACAGCACUGCUCUGCUAUUUUAAUCCUCCAAAGAAUUCUCCUUGGACCAACACCAAAGAGUCAAACAAUAAGUUUUAAAACUUACUUUUCUCUUAAAUUUGAACUAAAAAAAAGGUGGAAGAUCCAAAACUAUGUGGAAAGUAAGAUUUAUUUGCAUUAUGUAGAAUUUAAAAUUAUACACGCACAUAUCGAAAUCUCUCUCUGAAUGAAGUUAUGGGUGGAUUUUAUCUUCUAAUUUAUUUUAAAAAAUUAACACAAAGGAUUUACGGUCCUUAUAAUCAGAAAAUAAGAGCAUUAUUCUAUCAUUGCUGUUAUACACACACGUAGAAUGUUGACAUUUAUCCAAAUAAUUAUCUUGAUUUUUUCAGCUUGCAUCACUAUAUGAAACAGACAAAGGGCAAUUUAAAUUCCAUUUUGAAACCCAAAUUAAUAAUGUGCUACAUUUUAUUACUUACUUUUAAAAUUUUACGGUGGACCUAUAAAGCAUACAUAUGCCUUAAUAGUCAUCUAUUAUUUCUUCUGAUAUGAAAUAGUACUUUAAUCAGAAAUGUCUUCUCUUUAAAUUAAGGAUAUAAAUCUUGCUAGAAUUUUAUCCUGUUGUCAUAUAAAGCCAUCAGAUUCAACACUUGAUGAAUACUGAUAGCAAUGUACUACUUGGAGUUUGAUAAAAAGAUGAAACUUAUUUCACACAAAUGUGCUAAAUGGUACUAAUGCAUUCUCCAAUAUGUUUGACUCUAUGAGAUUUGAGAUAUCCGAUGGCUACGUGACAUGAAAGAAGUGGUCUAAGUGCUAAAUAGUAGCUGCCCAACUGAAGACAUGAAGAUUCACCCACAGCAGAAGGAACAAUCAAACAAAUUUACAAACCUCUUGGAUUUAUAACAGAUGCAUAGCUUUUUUACAAGAUUAAAUUAACUUAAUAUAGAACUCUACCUGCUUAAUAAAACAAAGUUUCUGCGUUAAUGUUCCUUUCAAGGCAAUCUGAAAAUUAUGCCUUCUCACAAACCUAAGAAGAAAGAUGUACUGGAUUUAUCUGAACCCCCUAGAGCACAUCCUCAUAUUUUGGGGUUAUAAAAAAAAUAAAGCAGAUCCUUAGUGGACUGAGGGAGCUAAAAUUAGGAGGAGGAGAGCAGUACCAUGCCUGCCACAGCAGGAAAGGGCCCUGUCUCAACUCCAAGUUACUCAAUAUGAACAGCCAACUGAACUAGGGUAGGAAAAAAUCACAAUUUGAAAACAUUUCCGUAAAGUGAAUUUAGUUAUAUGGUCUUCAUAUAACCGUUCUCAUAUCAGAAGAAGCGGUUAAUGACUGUCUAAAUGUCUGCUACAGACCAUAAUUUAAGAAUUUCUUUAUAUUUAUGCUAAAAAACAUUGUAUAAAUCGACUUCACUAAUGUGUGCAUAGCAAAAACCAUAUUUCCCUCUUUUAGAAUACAGCGAAAAAUAUAUGAAACCAUUUUUGUUAAUUUAAGAACUUUCUAGUACUCUUAGACAUGAAAGUAAAACUGAAUAGCAAUGAGUAGUUUAUAUGCUGGUAUGGUAUUUUGUAUUGAAGUUCUUCAAUUUGAUAUCUCCACGACUAUAAGAAUAGUUUACUAAUAUUGCUAUAUAUGUAGUUUUAUGAGUUUCUAUAGAUUUUCCUCUAACUGAUUAAGGAAAACUCAAGGUCAAUCUACUCAUACAUAAUAACGAGUGUUGGUUUCAUUUCAUGGAUAAGUGUUCAUGUUUGAUAUUUCAGAACUCAAAACAGAAAGAUCUCAAGACCUAUAUUUCCUUUUCAUGUUAGCACAAUCUGCAGUUGUUAGGAGAGCUGUCAAUCUCUUCUUAAUACAUUCAAGUCCUUUGGAGAAAAGCACAGGCCAAAGGGGAAAACCCACGGUGGAAAAUUUCUGAAGCGAAGCUUAUUAUAGAGAAGGCUGAAUGGUAGUCAAAGGUAUGGGGGAACAAUUUGAGAAUCAACAGUGAAUGAGGAAGAUAAACGUCUGCUCUAAGAAGUAGACAAGUGGACAUGCACAUUCCCAGCUGGAGGAAACCAUCAAGAAGUGCAGGGUUGACCCUGCCGGACAAGUAGAAGACUGUGUAUGUCUAAACAAGGAUUGCUCGGCACCCUCACAGACGAAUGUGGUCACCUUGGCAUUCCCUCUGCAGGGAGCUGGCAUGACUGAAAUGCAGUUCUAUAAAUAGAUUCCUCAUUCUCUGGAACCACUCUAGACAUUUAUUUUAUCAGCUCUGUAUGUCCUUAGAUGCAUACUCAUUGUUGCAAGGGAAGCUAACUAGAUCGCCCAUUGUCUGCAGGGAGCUGGCAUUUCAGAUGAGCCCAGGAAAAUCAUCUUAACAUUAGGCUCUAAGCAAUUUUGAAAAUGGAAAGUAGAGCAUAUUUACUACACCUGACUGAGGCAGGUGCAGCCCUAGGUGCUUUAUGUGGAGAAACUGACUUAAUCAUCACCAAAAACUUGUCAAUAAAGCCUAUUUUCACCCCCAUUUUAUAGAAGAGCAAACCGAAGCACAGUGGGGUUAUGCGGUUUCCAAAGUUCACACAGAAGAUUAGCCCUCAGCUAGCAUCUGCUGGAAAUCCUCUUUUCACUGAGGAAGACUGGCCCUGAGCUAACAUCCAUGCCCAUCUUCCUCUACUUUAUACGUGGGACACCUACCACAGCAUGGUUUGCCACGCAGUGCCAUAUCCCCACCCAGGAUCUGAACUGGUGAACCCCGGGGCGCCGAAGCAGAAUGUGCUCACUUAACCGCUGUGCCACUGGGCCGACCUGUCAAUUUCUUAUCUAUCUAUUUGGUUCCAUUGGCCAACCUUUCGCCUGUGCUACUUUCUCCUGAUUACUGCAGCUUUAGAGUGGCUGUGAAAAUCAAGUCAUAAGGGUCCUCCAACAUCUUCUCCUUGUAAAAAAUUAUUUUGGCUAUGCAAGUUCCAUUGCCUUUGCACAUUAAUUUAAAAGUGCUAGUAAUCUUUGAUGUUCCAUAACUAGUAGAAGCAUCACCCUGAUCUCUGCCUUUAUCUUUACAUGUGUUCUCCCUGUGUGCAUGUCAGUGACCAAAUUUCCCUUUUUGAUAUACAAACCAGUCAUACGGGAUUAGAAGUCCACCCUACUCCAGAAUGACUUCAUUUUAACUUAUUACAUCUGCAAUGAUCCUGUUUCUAAUGAGAGUCACAUUCUGAAGUACUGGGAGUUAGGACUUCAACAAAUAAAUUUGGCGUUGGGGGCACAGUUUAACCCAUAACACUCUUCUUCCAGGAAUCAAGUUACAUGUAUGUUAAGCUAUGUGAUGUGAUCUAACAUGUACCUGAAUUAAAAUUUUUUUCUAAGUGACAACUUUGACGUAUUUUCAAGGUCACUGCUUCUUCUCUCAUCACCCUUCCCCUAGACGCUAGUCAUUUUUUUAAAAUUUCAGAU
rnacentral:lncRNA from 1 species